ACUAUUGCACAUAGGGAAGGGCUGGAGCUGGGGCUUGGCAGUAGAAGGCUCGCCUGUGGCACAAGAGGACCUGGGAUCAGGGGAGGGAAAUGGGGAAAGGAAGGGUGGUAUGCCUGCCUCCUUAGAAAAGUCGCAUUAAAUGCUUCCAGAGAACCAAGCGGACAGAUGUGCAGUGUGCACGAGACGUGAGCAAGGGCAGCCCACAGACACAGAGUGAGGUCAGACACACAGCAACCCACAGACACACAGUGAGGUCACACACACAGCAGCCAACAGACACACAGUGAGGUCAGACACACAGCAACCCACAGACACACAGUGAGGUCACACACACAGCAGCCAACUGGGACAGACACACAGUGAGGUCACACACACAGCAGCCAACCGGGACAGACACACAGUGAGGUCACACACACAGCAACCCACAAACACACAGUGAG